rnacentral:rRNA from 1 species
CUUGCUCCCGGAUGUUAGCGGCGGACGGGUGAGUAACACGUGGGUAACCUGCCUGUAAGACUGGGAUAACUCCGGGAAACCGGAGCUAAUACCGGAUAGUUCCUUGAACCGCAUGGUUCAAGGAUGAAAGACGGUUUCGGCUGUCACUUACAGAUGGACCCGCGGCGCAUUAGCUAGUUGGUGGGGUAAUGGCUCACCAAGGCGACGAUGCGUAGCCGACCUGAGAGGGUGAUCGGCCACACUGGGACUGAGACACGGCCCAGACUCCUACGGGAGGCAGCAGUAGGGAAUCUUCCGCAAUGGACGAAAGUCUGACGGAGCAACGCCGCGUGAGUGAUGAAGGUUUUCGGAUCGUAAAGCUCUGUUGUUAGGGAAGAACAAGUGCGAGAGUAACUGCUCGCACCUUGACGGUACCUAACCAGAAAGCCACGGCUAACUACGUGCCAGCAGCCGCGGUAAUACGUAGGUGGCAAGCGUUGUCCGGAAUUAUUGGGCGUAAAGGGCUCGCAGGCGGUUUCUUAAGUCUGAUGUGAAAGCCCCCGGCUCAACCGGGGAGGGUCAUUGGAAACUGGGAAACUUGAGUGCAGAAGAGGAGAGUGGAAUUCCACGUGUAGCGGUGAAAUGCGUAGAGAUGUGGAGGAACACCAGUGGCGAAGGCGACUCUCUGGUCUGUAACUGACGCUGAGGAGCGAAAGCGUGGGGAGCGAACAGGAUUAGAUACCCUGGUAGUCCACGCCGUAAACGAUGAGUGCUAAGUGUUA